rnacentral:rRNA from 1 species
AUUGAACGCUGGCGGCAGGCCUAACACAUGCAAGUCGAGCGGUAACAGGGCGCUUGGUGCUGGCGUCAGGGGCGGGGGGGAGUGAAAUGCCUAAACGUGUGCAUUCGAGGGGGGUAAAUCGUCGAAAGAGGGGCGAUUAUACCACAUGCGUCAUGAGGGAAAGCGGGGGGGCGCUUCGGACCUCACGAUUGCAGCUGAGGCUAGGUCGGAUUAGCUAGUUGGUGGGGUAAAGGCCUACCAAGACAACGAUCUGUAACUGGUCUGAGAGGAUGAUCAGUCACACUGGAACUGAGACACGGUCCAGACUCCUACGGGAGGCAGCAGUGGGGAAUAUUGGACAAUGGGCGCAAGCCUGAUCCAGCCAUGCCGCGUGUGGGAAGAAGGUCUUCGGAUUGUAAAGUGCUUUUGUUUGGGAGGAAGCGCAGUAAGUUAAUACCUUGCUCUUUUGACGUUACCGAAAGAAUAAGCACCGGCUAACUUCGUG